AAUCAACGCUGGCGGCGUGCCUAACACAUGCAAGUCGCACGAGAAAGGGGAGCAAUCCCUGAGUAAAGUGGCGCACGGGUGAGUAACACGUGAAUCAUCUACCUCCGAGUGGGGAAUAACUGAGAGAAAUCUUAGCUAAUACCGCAUAACACUUACGAGUCAAAGCAGCAAUGCGCUUGGAGAGGAGUUCGCGGCCGAUUAGUUAGUUGGCGGGGUAAUGGCCCACCAAGACGAUGAUCGGUAUCCGGCCUGAGAGGGCGCACGGACACACUGGAACUGAAACACGGUCCAGACUCCGUACGGGAGGCAGCAGGUGGGGUAAUUUUGCGCAAGUCGGGGGAAACCCUGACGCAGCAACGCCGCGUGGAGGAU
rnacentral:rRNA from 1 species